CAUGCCUAUCUGUUUUUAUGUGGUACUGGGAGGGGGUAGUUUCUAUCCCAGGGCUUUGUGUGUUCUAGGCAAUCACUCUAGAACUGAACUACAUCUCCAGUCCUUCCUAGUCAUAUUCUUAUUUAUCACCAUGUAAACUUAAGUUGUAAUGGACACUGAAAUACUGAACAUUUCUAGUGAAAAAUCUGUGUUAGCUAGCAGUCUGUUACUGUAACACAAUACCCAGCACAGUCAACUUAUUAGGAGAAAAAGUUUCUUUGGCUCAUGGUUUCAUAGGUUUCUUUGUACAUUGGUAGGUUGGGUUGCAUUGAGCCUGUGUUGAAAUAGGAUGUCAUGUGAAGAGCACGUGUCAGAGCUUUCUGUUCAUCACGCCAUCCAGGAAAGAAAGAGGAGGAGACCAAGGUUCCACAAAUCUCUUAGAAUGUACUUACUCAGUGACUACUUUCCUUCCACUAGGUCUCACUCUCAAAGACUCUGCCACUUCCCAGUGGAGUGAUAGACUGGGACCAAACCUUUGCCACAGGGGCCUUUGGGGGACAUUUACACAAAGCACAGCAAGAGAAAACCUUUCGUUCAAUUACCUACUAGGGUUUAGACUCUGAGGUUAGUUAGAGCCACCUCUAAUGACUCACGGCCAGCUGAAGCCUUGCACUAUGGAAAAAGAUCAAUUAUUCUAGCCAUUGAUUUCCCUUUGUCUAUUGUUUGUCGCUCUCUCUAUGCCUUCAUCUAUAGCAGGCUGUUCAGGGAAGGUAGACACAGCUCACAUGGUUUGGUGACGACAUGCUGUUUGUCAUUAGCUUUUCCAGUCUUUGUUAUUCCCAACUAUGUUUGUAGCUAUCCUUCCAAGGUCACUUCACCACCGUCCUUGUCUCUUCAUGGGGCCACUGUGGAAUCUUGAACAGAAAACUGUGCAGAUGAGUUUUGGAGGAACCCGAGGAUGGAGAAAGAAGGCGGCCCUCUCUCUACAAGCCAUCAACACAAUGUGCUGGGACUUUGAUCUUGGACUUUCAACCUCCAGAACUGUGAAGAAAUCAACUUCUUUUGCUUAAUCCACCCAACCUAUGCCAGCCACCAGCCAUGGACACGUCUCCACACACCCCGCCCUGUUCCACAGGCCUGGCAUGGACAGAGGUGAAGCCGAGGGCACUGUCCACUCCAGAACAGAUUGGUCUUGUCUGCAUGGGGAUGGGCAGAACCACAGAGGAACCUCCCUCAGGGCAGUUGUGGGAAACACACCUGCACAUGAAGGGCAUCGGAUGCAGGACAGCUCUUCUCCCUGUGGCUGAGCGGCUCAGCGAUGGGGGCUUGAUUUUACCCACGGAUUUCUUAUGGAAUCCCACAGAACCAUAGGUGGACACAACUUCAGAGUCUGCCACUGGUACCCACUCAUCCACAUCCACAUGGUAUGUUACCCCACCUCUGUAUCUGUGACACCAGAAUGACAAGCCGCUCACUGAUGUGGUAAUGCUGAGUGCUAGGGUGAGGGCUGGGACUCUGAGCUGGGCAAUCUCUGAGCCCCAUCCUGUGUCUCAGAACUGGCCAUCCUCUUCUUCCUCCACCACCAUCCAGCCCCACGUGGCUCGACUGAAGUCCCGGAGAAGCCUUUGGGGCUGCUCCCUGCCGCUGCCUCUGCCCCUGUAGGGAGAGCUGUUGGCCCAGAAGUGGGAUGAACCGGGGUCACCAGGAGGCCAGGACUGGUGCCUGCUGCUGGCUGCAUCUCACCCUGCAGAUGUGACCUUUGACCCCUCCAGGAGGUUUGCUUUCGGGGCCUGACCCCUUCUUACCUUACAGUUUUCGAACGGUGUGCGUUUCCUGCCCGUCUUGUCCACCAGCCCUGGAAGAACAGGGCUGUGGAAAAGCUACUCUGGCCUUCCUGUGCCCCAACCUUGCCUGGCAGAGGCUCUCAUGCAUAUUUUACAGGGUCUGAGUGCACAGUGCUCACUUUACAGCCAGAGGCUCCAAGAGGGUCCAUCUUUCUGAAGUCAAGACCUGAAGACAGGUCUCCACCUCCUCCAGGUGUCUGCAGUCCCAUUGAGCUGGCGCUGAAUUUGUCCUCUGUCCCUCCAAGUCUUCCUGCCUCUCCGCUGAGGUACAGUCUGCAGGUCCUUUGUCCUUUGUCCCGUUCAGUGAUGCUCCAAGCUGAGCCUGACUGCCACCUCUACCUAGUUGAAUUCCCAUGGGGAUUGCUGGCACAUAUCAUCUGGAACGGAAACCACACAUUCCUCCUGCUACUGUGAUCCACAAUUCUCUCUCUCUCUCCCUUCCUUCCUUCCUUCCUUCCUUCCUUCCUUCCUU